GAUGAACGCUAGCGGGAGGCCUAACACAUGCAAGCCGAGCGGUAUUGUUUCUUCGGAAAUGAGAGAGCGGCGUACGGUGCGGAACACGUGUGCAACCUGCCUUUAUCUGGGGGAUAGCCUUUCGAAAGGAAGAUUAAUACUCCAUAAUAUAUUGAACGGCAUCGUUUAAUAUUGAAAGCUCCGGCGGAUAGAGAUGGGCACGCGCAAGAUUAGCUAGUUGGUGAGGUAACGGCUCACCAAGGCAAUGAUCUUUAGGGGCCUGAGAGGGUGAUCCCCGACACUGGUACUGAGACACGGACCAGACUCCUAC
rnacentral:rRNA from 1 species